CCCUUGGAAAAGGGCAUCAUAGAGGGUGAUAAUCCCGUACAUGGCUUGGAGCGCCCGAAGCUUUGUGAUACGCUUUCUAAGAGUCGAGUUGUUUGGGAAUGCAGCUCAAAAUGGGUGGUAAAUGCCAUCUAAGGCUAAAUAUUGGGGAGAGACCGAUAGCGAACAAGUACAGUGAUGGAAAGAUGAAAAGAACUUUGAAAAGAGAGUUAAACAGUACGUGAAAUUGCCAAAAGGGAAGGGUAGGAGGUCAGAGAUGCGGCCUGGGAUUCAGCCUUGCUUUUGCUUGGUGUUUUUCCCAGAUUGCAGGCCAACGUCGGUUUUGGGCACUGGAGAAGGGUAGGAGGAACGUGGCACCUCUCGGGGUGUGUUAUAGCCUCCUACUGGAUACAGCGACCGAGACCGAGGACAGCAGCGUACUCGCAAGAGCGGGCCUUCGGGCACCUUUACGCUUAGGGCGUUGGCAUAAUGGCCCUCUACCACC
rnacentral:rRNA from 1 species